UUUUGUUCUGUUUAUGUUGUUAUGCUAAAACCCUCUCAAUGGGUAUGUUGUUGUAAGAAAAGCAGAAACAAAGCAUAAUCAAAAGACAUCUUAGUCUAAAACCAAAACACAUGCGAAUAAGAAAUAAUGUUGUUGACUUGAGAAUCUCCAAAAAAAAAAAAAACAUUCAUAUGCCAUAAAAGAGAGUUACCAAAAAACAGAACCUACAAACUAAUCUUCUUGCGUUGCUUGAGAAGGUUGUGUGAUUGCAAGCGUAUCCAGAGCUUGACUUUUGUCCUUAUUAGUCUUCUUCUUCUUAGACUUCUC
rnacentral:lncRNA from 1 species